UUUAUGAAUUUAACUUACAUUUUAUGUAUUUAAAUCGUAAACCGUGCCGAACAAAGAGAUCCAUAUUUAUGACUUUGAAUCCAUGUAUCAAGGCGCUUCGUGAAACACGAAGCACCUUCACGAGUAUACCGCCUGCUCUGUUUUUGAAGAGAACAGAAAUAGAGUAGCUAUCUUUCUCUCUCUAUCUUCUAACUUAUUCUUCUCUCUCUAUUUAAUUCUUGUAUUUUCUGCGUACCUCUAUGUACACAUACAUAUGCGUUUGUAUGAAAGUUUUGGAGGGGUUGACGGCAUCGCGACGGUAUGCGUCGUGUUAGUUUCGUGACGCAUCUAGCGUCUCCUAUUCUUAAAUCUGCAUGAUGUACCACCUUAAUCACGAAGCAACGACCAGCAAAUUCUCUUGGCUUGUGGUCAGAAACUUUGAUUGACGAGAUGGACGUAAGCAGCGCGAAAAUUUUGCUUGCUCCGACUCAAGUGCCUACAUUUACGUUUUUGAGGCGUUAACAUUACCAUUAAUGGAACUUUCGCCUUAACCUUUGAACUUUCAACGUAACUCUUUCAACUUUCUCAUAAUUAAAAGCUUUUUGACGAAUACAUGAAACUGAACGCAAAACCGAAUGCUAACGUAAAACUGCAUGUAAAAUCGAGCAUAAAAUCGAAUUGAUGAAUAAGAAAUAACAAUCUUUGCAGGUUUUUCGACGAAGAGGACGCGUUAAGGUUUAUUUUUAAAACGGAGAUACAGCGCAGAAGAUGAAAAAAAAUUCCUGGCACGGGAUAAGCAAGAAAUAUUCAAAGAGACAGUUACGAAAGCGGACGUACCUCUUCCGGAUCCAUCAAACUCUUCUUCGACUCCAUUGUAUCGUCGAUCGAAUAAAUCUCGACAUCCUAAUCGUCUUUGAAAUGAUUCAAAGAACAGGUGUCUCGACAACUCUAUUGCAAUCAUGGUACUAUCGACGGCGGACCUAAAAAUAAAGUCACGAGUAUCGAGCACCUCAACUGACGCAACUCGCAGAAGCUUUUCUCAGCGAUGGAUUGUCCACCCGAACUUCUACAUGUCAUCAAAUAUACGUGCCUGAACGCGUUUCCGAUGGAAUGUGUCGCGUAAAACGCGCACUUGGAGAAGCUCCAGGUGCGGAGGAGGAAGUACGUGUAAAUUGUGAUGAAGUAAAAAGAGAAGUUGGAUGGAUCUAGCGGCAAAGCCACGUGCGUUGCUAUUUUUCACAGAAAUGAGACAGAAGCUGACUAUACGUUUUUAGAUUUAUCUAUACUAUAUAUAAGUGUAUAUUACACAUCACAUACUAUCGAAUGAAUGAAAUAUUGUCAUAUAUCUUUUUCAGUUUAGACAAUCGAAUUAGCAAGAAAUUAAAAUUACAGAGUGCUUGUAUUUCAGAAGAUACGGAUAAACACUAUCCCUAAUGGUUAUCCAGACCAGAACGAAAGGGAAAAAGUUCCUCGGAAAUUGAGGAAGGGGAUGUUUUUUUGUUCGAUAAGGAAAACAGCGUCAUUAAGUGCAAUCCUAUUCCGUUUCGAUCGUUCGGUAAAAAAAUAAAUGUUUCGGCGAGUGUGUCAAGUAUCGUCUCGAAAAGUAUCCGGAAACGCCUGGUUCUUCUUAUAAAUCAGCGUCGGUACACUCCCUCUUUCCACGACCAUGUCAUUUAGCGAGAAGUUUUCUGCUGGAAAAAAAGGGAAAAGCACGCGAUCGCUAUUUAAAAGGCUCGUAGGUGGGUGGCUUUUUAACCGAAGUAUAUACCGACGUAGGGAGAGGGCUUCGACUUCGCUCUUCGGCCUCAGUAUGGGGUUGCCGUGCUAUUUUCAGGCCGGUGGCUCGAUGCAGCUGUCGUGUUCUUCGGGUAAACCACCUCUCUUCUAUUCCACGGUCACUCGCGGGACAAGGUAGAACAUACAGAUUGAAAUUCUAAAUUCACGAUUCGAGAAUUCGUAAAGGAUGACGCAUCUUCGCUAAUUCUGACCAAAAUUAGACGAUCGCGAUAAAAGAAACAUAGUACUACCGGAAGCUCGUUUUAUCGUUUUACCCUUUCUCGAAAUUGAUAUCCUUCUCAUGUUAUUUUCGUUUAUCUAACCAUAUUCCUUUGUUAUUCUCUUUUCUCGGUGCUUCUAGAACCUUCCAUUCUUUACGAUUAAAGUUGUUCUUUCUACUGUAGAAUUGAAACGAUAAUUGAUAAAACGCACUAAGGCUGAAUGUAUUAAUAAAAAAAUAUUUUAUUUGUCAAUGUAAGAACUACGCGAAGUUAUACUUUUGUACGGAAUAGUAAAAAGCACCAGGAGGUAGAAAGAUAGAAACUAUGAGAACUAUUUAAUUGAUUGCCUCCAGCAAAUGUACGGGGAGAAGUGCGUGCUGAAGAAUAGAAGACGUGGAUGAAGAAGAUGACAAGAUUCGAAGAUCUUGGCAACGAGCCAGACGAGAUUUUCAGUCGUCUACGUGUACUUCCAACUUUCAUCUGUCUCCUCUUCUAGCCACCGUACACGUCCUCUAGGACCUAGGGUGCAAUGACACCGGGUUUUAGAUGACAAUUUUCUAUUUUCAGUACAUGAGUCAUUGUAUGCACAUACCUGUUCUAUGUAAAGUUGUUAGUUUUCUAUGAAUUCUUAAAAUUCCAGGAAAGUGACUUUACAAUAUAAGAAUCUAAAUUAUUAAUUUAGUAAACUUGCGUGAAAUACUAUAAUCAAAUACAAGUUUAUGAAUCUCGAAGUAUAAUAAGGUGAAGACAAGAAAGAAAGAAGAAAGGAGUAUUAGAAGGUUAAAAAAUAUCAACCGGAACGGCCCUUAAUUUAGUUUCGGGUGCAAGAGGUUAACACAGGGUGGGGAUGUCCGUGGAAGUGCUCCUACAAGGGGAGAAUGCCGUCAUACGAAGCACGUUGGUUCAUGUUUGGAGGAAUGUCUUUGGGUAUAAAGGGAGACAGUUCCUUCCGGAGACGGCGAACAGCCGCCUGUUUCACCCUUCUCGCCCCUCAGAUUUGUUCCCUUUCUUUAUAUCGUUUUUCUUGCGAUUCGUCGCCACUUACUAUCUAUUAAGAUCAAUGAAUAGAUAUUUUUACACAAAGCUUUUUUACACAAAGAAAGUCUUAUAAAUUUUAUCAAAAUUAUCUGAAAAUCAAUUUAUAUGCGAAUAUAUAAUAUAUUAUAUUUUUAUUAUGUAUAUACACCAGAAAAUAAAGAAUAAUUUAAUGAUCAAUUUCAGGAAAGCAUGCAGAAUAAUGAAAUUUAUAAAGAGGACGGAAGUAUAGUAAUUCGUAGAUUAAUUGCAUGCUGAUCAGACUGUAGAACUAAAUGGCUUCGCAGGUGGCAAGCAGGCAUGCGAAUCUAAAAAGGGUCACACACACGAGCACGUGCUCGCAUUUUGCACAACCUUUUCAAAGACGGAGGCGAUCAGCUGGCGGUAUUCUCUAUUCCUUUUCCCCUCUUAUCUCCUUCAACGACGAGAAAAAAGAAUUAAAAAGGAUAAAAAUGAGUAUACACCCCCUUCGUCCGCACCCGCAUCCUGUGCCAGAGCAUAGUGCUGCUUUCGUAAAAACCGGCCUGUCGGUUUCCAUUCAAAAUGCGCGAGUCACGAGGGCUCAUUCACAAAUUUCACGACGAAAUUCUACACUCGGCCGGACCGUCUGCGAUCUUGAUCGAGACAACAGAGACAAACACAUAAGAGUGAGAGCGAUCGGGAUAUCCUUUUUCUUGAAACCUCUUGUUGCUGGAUUUAUAUUCACGUAAGCUUUUUUUGCAACAAAAGAACCAACGAUGGUUCAUAAUGACGUACACGAUGCAUUUAAAUUCGUCGCAACCGGUAUAAGCACAGGAAUUUAUCGAGCAGUCAGCUGAUUUUACGUAUCUACAUAUACUGACGUAUAAGAUCUUUAAAUGAUCAUAAAAAUAAGGGCACCCGAAAUUCUAUUGAAAAAAGUAAUCAAGAUAUGAGGUUUUACAAAAAGACUUACAAAAGACGAAUGCAUGAACAUUAGUACAAAUGAUAUUAGAUAGAAAAUUCUGUUCAUUGAUCUACGUUGACUGAAAUACACUUAAUGAUCAUGGAGAUUAUUGCCCGUUUGAGAUCUGGAGAAUGUUGAUGACUUCCGUCUCCCGCAACAAGCAUCGGAAGCGCUAGGAUGUAAAAGAAAGAAGGAUGAACCGUUAACGCGACGCACGGGUGCCGUUCGAUGAUUAUUCGACCGAGUGUCUGUUUUCUGAUGGGAUAUAUCUCCUGUUGCAGUAGGUGGUUCCUUCUAUCGCUUCGCGUACGGACCACGUGCCACGCUGAUCCUCCCUCGUUGAUUCUCUUUCUUCCAUUGCCGUCGUCCAGACGGCUUUAAGGAGAGAUGAAAAAAAUGAAGGGGACGGAAAAAGAGGAAGUGGACUAGACGAUGAGGGGGCUGAGGUCGUAGUCCUGAACAGUUUGCUGGUGGAUUCAUGGAAUUCAUUCCUCUACGCACUUUUAAUCGUGGCUCAUUGAAGAAUCCAGGCGCAAGAAGAUGCUCGUUGCACAUUAUCUCAAUCCUUUAAACAGUUUCCGUAGCGAUUAAUGAAUGACAUGGGAAGAACUAGUAACCGUUUUACUACACGGAAACCACCGGAAAGAGAGACUUGUAAUUUUCGUUUAAUAACGAGGCGGGAAACAUUUUUCGAAUCGCAUUGCAUUGGCGUUGUCUGAAAACAUUAUACUGUAUGAAAAUUCUACGAAGAAUGAUUAAGGUCGAUGAAGACGAAAAUGCGAUCUGUUGUCGUAACGAGGGAAAUCGGACAUCUCUAAGUAUAGCUCGUAUUUGCAUGCAGAUCAGGGACGGAUCGUACUGGGUUGCCAAGCUGCUACAACGUGCAAAGUCCACAAGCAAUCAUUUGUAUCUACUUCGAUGACGAUUACGAACUUGGCAAUGCUCGGAAAGAAGCGCCAUUGUUGCACAAUCAAAUUCCUUCUUUCGGCUUUGGGAUACUGAUUUCAAAAUUUCUCAUUGAGAAGUUUCUGUUAUUGUUACGAGAGUUUAUAAUACUUUAUAUGAGGUGUUUUCUAGGAUCAGUUAUCAUUAUCGAUCAGUGAUCUUAAAGGACUACGUAGGAUUUGCCAACGAGGAAAGCGAGAGCCUCGUGCCAAGAGCAUUUAAUGACACUUUAUGAAAGACACUGCGUGAAGCUAAGAGAGAUGGUUUUUGUCUUGUUUGUAAACAUACAACAAUGUAUAAUAGGAGAAAAGAUACACUACCAAUAUAGUAGUACACGAAAGACAAACUAAUCAAAACGAUAAAUAUUGUUAACUAGAUGCAAAGAAUAAUCAAAGAAGCAUGUAAAUAAAAUUAAAUAAUAAUACAAGAAGAUAAAUUAGAUGUAUCUAAUGACGUUUUAGAUGAGCAUGAAUUCACGAACUUAAAACCAUGACCAUUUUGCAAACUCCUGGCCGACCACCAACGAUUAACCAUUUAUAAUUACGAGGAUACUACAUUUUGGCACGUGACACAGCAUUUAUAGAUCGCGUCUCGAUUUAAUCGUCGUCGUUUCAAUUAUUUUUCUGGCUACCUGUCAUCAGAAGCGUGGAUCCGUGGAUCCAGUCGAUGCCAAUGAUCGAAAAAUAGAUCCGAGCGCAACCUGUUCGAAAUAGCUGGCGUGAAACCUGUAACGUAGCUGCGUGUGUGCCGUUAAUGUCAGCACGUUGAUCGGUAUUGGAAUACCGACAUCAUGGUCGGCAUUCAAAUGCAAAACACGACACAAGUCAAGUGAUUGCUGGCUUUGGCGAUCAACGUGUAUAUUGUUUCAGACAAUAUCUAUCCAUAGGUUGAUCGACCUUUGAAUGGUGGUAGGUUUCUGCGAUUCGCGGGGCAAAUGGAGAUCAUGCUCGAAGGUGUCUAAGCUAAAGGGAAGGAAAUCUAAUUAUAGAAGUCGUUGUACCGCGUGCUGAAAGUGGUGGAGGGUGUGAGUACGGGUGCACGAAUGAGAAUCGGUUGCAUUGGGCGGCUAUAAAAUGCAGGCUGCAUCCGCUCGCCGCAGAUGUACUUGGAAUGGAGUUCCAGUACUACGACGAAACCAAAAGAAUCUCUCGUUUCGAAGUUCUAUGCCCUUCCAGAUAUUGAGGACAAUGAACUUGAAGUGUACGCGAUAGAAACAGAUUCCAUGGAUUCUUGUUUGACGGAAGAUCGAUCGCGAAAGGAAUGCGAGGUGCUCCAUUACUCUAAACUAAACUGAAUUUGACCACUUCCAGACAUCUGGAUACACUUUCACUACCAUCGUUCUUGCUAUAAUGUAGAUGAAUGUCAAAAUGUUUACCGUUUCUUCAUUGUUAAACAUUUAGACUUAAAAGCUACAAACAAGCAUUUCAGAAAAUUAACAGUAGUGAAACUAACCACCCCUACAAUAUUUAUAACAGUUCUGGCUGGAAUCUCAUUUGGAUGAUUGUCUUAUCACGAGUAGAGCAAGUUCAUUAUAUAGUAUUCAUUCAUGCAGGAGCCAUGUGGUUCCUUAAUCCACCCUAUGAUAUUUCCUGUCUGAGUGAUAAAAGGGAUCAAACAUUUACUACUAAAACUUUACAAAGCAACAAAUAUUGCUCACUAAUAGAUAAUUCUUGCCUUUUAAAAAAUACUAAGCUCAUUUUUAAUUUUAUGAAUAAUCAUAAUUUCAUACGCGUCAACUAUUUCUUACGGGCGAUACGUUUAUCGUCAAUCUUACCCGUACAAAUGAUUGGUCACCCAACUGCACCAGCUGUGACAUUUCGCACACGAUCGACUCCUGCCGCUUGGACCGUGAUUAUUAUUGUUUCCUUCACCUUUUUUUCUUUCUCUGAAAGUAGCGGCGCGUGUGUCCGUGACGUGGCCAUGUAAGGGCUAGGCGGGGGUGCUGGUCGCUAAUUUUAGUUCGUCUCCAGGGUUCCUGGAGUCGUCGGCGAAUCGGCAGCUGGUGAUUCAAGACGUAGCCUUGCACGUGGGUACGUGUCUCACCGUUCACGCACGACGGACAUCCCCCUUCUUGUUUCUCCUCUCUUCGAAGGAGGUCGACGUGUCCACUCGUUUCGUUCCAGAUGUGUGCUACGUUCAAAGUCACGCGAUAUAUUAGACAUAUUGCUGUGUAUUAAGACGAACGAUUUCGAGGUCAUUUUAGUUGUUCGACUUGAUUAGAUUGGAAAAAAUUAAUAUCUUAGUACUUAAUCGAAACGAAUCUUUUAAGGUAAAAUCUUUUGAUUUUGUUUAUUAAAGAUUAUGUGAGAGAAUAUAUAUAUUUUUCGUUGUAUUUAAUUACUCAAAGGUAUUCUUUAAUUUUGAUUGAGAUUGCUAUCUGGCCUCUUCAACCCUUGAAAUCAAAAGGCAGAGAAGAAAGAGAAAGGGAGAAGGAAGAGGAAGGGACGCGUGUGUCUCUUUGAGAAGGAGCUAAAGGGGAAACGGAGGAGAGGUAAACGAGAUCUGGCGGCGGCUGGUGCAGCGGAUGUUUGAAGCUGCUGAAAGUGAGGCGGUGCGGUGGUUCCUUUCGCCUUCUUUCUCUGUCUUUCCUGUUGCGUUUCCUUCAUCAGUUAGCCACGAUCACGGUAAAACACGGUUCGCGGAGGAAGCACCUCGGCGGAUGUGAUGUUUAGGACAUGGACCGGACAAAAAACUCUUUCCGUAUAAAUAGGCAACAGUGGUUGGUCCCGGUAUUGCCGUUUAACUUUUGACCCACAUAUUUUCAUUGAUUAUUUAUGAAAGCACGUAUUUCUUUUUUCUUUAUAGUAACCUUGCGUGGCUUUGGUAUAGAAAGUAAAAUUACGUGUAUUAAUUAAAAAUUAAUAUUCGAUUAAUACUAAUACAUUAGUAGUAAAUUAGGUCUUAUGUUUUAGUUGUCACGGUUGACAAGAGGAUAAUGAUUCUAAUGAAGUUGUAAAUGCGUUUGUAACAUGAUCACUGUAAAGAACUGCAACACUUGUUGGCCUGUUUCCACUUGGGUUUCGGAAGUCAAAUCUUUUUUGACCUGCAACCUGCUGGGUCAAAAGAACGCGAUCCUCUUCACAACUGCGCCGAUUCAUGUUACAGUAACAGAAGGAAACGGAAGGAAAAUGAUGAAGCUAUUAACACACUAACCUACUUGUGUUAAUAACCCGUUUACUCUCUUAACACGCGUCCAUUAUAGUAUAUACUAUACAGAAAUCAUUAUUGUUAGAUACGAAAGAAAUAUAGUAUAAUAUAAAUACGACAAAGCAUAAAUGUUUUUAAAGUGCGUACACUGCUAAACAUUACUACGCACUUAAUUUAGUGAGACUAAAGGGGUACACGACGCGUGGAUCGAGUCAGAUAUGCUCGACACGUGGUUGUCGAUAUUCCAGGCUCCUGCCGAGAAACACAGACCUCCCAGUGUCAUCCGACCACCAUGUGCACGCGAGCUCGGUGAAGUCCCUCUCAGGUUUUGAAAUUGUCUUCUAUUUGUCGUGGUAUCGCCGAAACCGAAUGGCAUGUAAAAAGCAGAGAAAGAGAGAGAGAGAGAGAGAGAGAGAAACCAUCCGAAAGACCAACGCACGGUUUACACCUCCUCGGUGUGCUCGAUGAAAAUUUAAAUAGAUCCUUUCGAAGCGACAAGUGCUCUGCAUAUACUCUGUGGGAGAGUGUUUGGAAUUACUGUUUUUUUUAUGAAAUAGAUAAUAUUACAACAAAAUUGAGAACGACCGAUAAUACGACCGAUAAUAACGACCGAUAAUAUUACAACAAAAUUGAGAACGACUAUUUGAGAAUUGGUAAGAAUGAAUCACAGUUGCUGUCUUAGAAAUAUUAUAUUUUACUAAGAUCAAUGUUGAUCAGUAAUUGUAAGCGGUGUAAGUGAAACUGAAAGCAACGGCCGAGGUAGUUGUAUUUUCCCUUGCAGUUGUCACCUGCUCUUGCUGCUUGACCAAUUGAAAUAAACCUACGUCUGCCACUCAACCAGAGUGCAGCAGGCCUGUGCCCAUUUUCGAGGAAUACGACACCCUUACUUUUACGAUACUUUGCAUAUGCCUCUUAAACUCGUUAUUGUUUACCCUUGCUAAAAGUUUUACGUGUUCAAAUGUAAAUUAAACUGCAAUUGCAGAGUGUAUUUCAACUGAAAUCAAUUGAACUUUAAGAAUAACAAUAGAUAUCGUAUAGCAAAAAGUAAUUUAUAUUUAUGUAUAAUAUUAAAAAUUGAAUGUUUUAAACAUCAUUGUUUUCAUAUCCAAAAUAUCAUAAAGCCAUUUAGGUCUGAAAAUCAUAUUCAAAGUAUGUGUAAACUGAUGUCCUUCGAAAAUGUAGGAAACCUAGAAAUAAAUAAAUGUAUGGUAUUAAAUUUAUUCGAUUAUUAUUCGUAGUAAAGGUAACUCACAUCGAGGGGGAAAUGAGGAGGAUAAGUGUGAUUCGAAGCGAUGUGGAAGAAUACACUGACUGUGACUUGAGGUUCGGGAUACGCCGGAGUGGGUACACUCCAAAGAACUUGGUAUGUAUAAAUUUCAAUAUUAUAUUUAUAUUGAAGGCCCAUGAAGUUUACAUGGAACAUCCAAUCCUUCAAAGCCUACAGGAACACUGUAUAAAAAUAUUCGUCUAAAGAUUUAUUGUAAAUAAAAAUCUUUAUAUAUCGAAGUCUUACUGAUAAUGCAUUCCACGAUUUCAUUUCAUUUGUCACAGUUUCUAAUCCAUUUCGUGCGGUCAAACUGCCACACGUAGGCCAUUCAUUACCGAAAUAGCCUAAUUUCCGUGUAGUUAUACCAGUCACGUUGUCAAAAGUAAGUUCACCCUGUUAAAUUCUGUAUUUGAAAAUUUCAACAUUAUAAAAUUAGGAAAGAAUUUUUUACAA